UAGGAAUCUUGCGCAAUGGGGGAAACCCUGACGCAGCCAUGCCGCGUGAAUGAUGAAGGUCUUAGGAUUGUAAAAUUCUUUCAGCGGGGACGAUAAUGACGGUACCCGCAGAAGAAGCCCCGGCUAACUUCGUGCCAGCAGCCGCGGUAAUACGAAGGGGGCUAGCGUUGCUCGGAAUUACUGGGCGUAAAGGGCGCGCAGGCGGAUGUUUAAGUCAGAGGUAAAAGCCCAGGGCUCAACCUUGGAACUGCCUUUGAUACUGGACAUCUUGAGUACGGGAGAGGUGUGUGGAACUCCGAGUGUAGAGGUGAAAUUCGUAGAUAUUCGGAAGAACACCAGUGGCGAAGGCGACACACUGGCCCGUUACUGACGCUGAGGCGCGAAAGCGUGGGGAGCAAAC
rnacentral:rRNA from 1 species